UUUACAGCUAUAUUUGAAGAGCCACAUGACUGUAGCCAAAAUUGAAGGGAGAAGAGAGGAAGGAGAGUAACGUGGAAAUGUUGGUUGGAAUUCUCUUGAAUUUCCUAUGGAGAUAAUUUUGUUUACAGGGGAAGUAUUAAACCAGGAUCCACUGAGG